UGAGACUCGGUAUAAGCUAUACCUGUGGAAUCAAAUAUUUAUUAAAUAUCAAACAGUAUACCAUUGCCAAGAAAUGUGUUACUAUUACCACAACAAUUACCAAGGCAAGUUAAUUUGGCUAUUCACUCAAGCAGUCGGGUAUUUUUUAUCAAAAAACAGCAUUUGGGGAAACUUGACGUGCGGACAUCUUAGGUUUUAUUUCCGAUACUUACCCGAAAAUAUCAGCGGCCCGCACACGAGUCUAGUGUGAGAUUAAUUGCAUAUUCAAUGUAAUCGAUCGAAAUUUCUUCUUAAUUGCAGAGACCUGCAACACCAUUAAAGAAUUGUAAUACCUGCCAUUUUUUUAUGCUAGGCCUAGAAAAAGGAAUGCAAAUAUUUGAUUAGUCUUUGCGGAUAUGAAAAUUAUGAAUUUUAAUUUUUAAAUAUUACUCAGAGAUCUCCACUUUCUGUGCUGCUUCCGUAAUUUUUGGUAUAGUGUCUAUAAGAUUUUCCAAAAUGCCUGUACGAACUUACUAUAUAUUUUGCGGAAAAUUUGUCCUGUUUAAAAUCACCCAAAGGUGUUCAAUGGGGUUGAAAUCUGGGGAUAGGGGAGGAGGAAUCCUUUUUUUUUGCGUAUAAUUUUUGCGCGAAUAGUUUAAAACUGUUUUAUGAUCGAUUUUUAGCUCCUGGGGGAUGCUACGACUAGUAAUACGACGCCGGUCAAGUGCGAUUAUUCCUGACAUUUUGGACGACGGACCUGCCUGUUCGAGGUGCAUCUUUAACAUCAAAAAUGCCUGAACGGAGUUGAUGAAACCUAAAUUGCACGUAACUAGUAGAUACAGUAUCAGCACCAUAAACACAAUUCACAAUUUGAAUUUUCUUCUUUAUCAAAGAAAGACUGUAAAAUAUAUCUCCGAAUUUGUUCGUAACUGGUGUUAAUUUCGUGGGGCACCUCUUCUAAGUCCUUAGACUUCAUCAGCUCCCACCGCGGUUUUUGUGGCUCUUGGAACAGUUUAGCGUCUCGCUAUUCGUGAAAAUUUCCUUUUUCAUCUUAAGUGCUCGUUAGUGGCAAAACAUUAUUUUACUUGUUUAAUCGCAGUUGAGCACUUCAUACUCUGUGUUUUAGUUUUUAUAGUCGGGGAGUAUUUUUUGAAAAAUAGAAAAUAAAUACUAAAAUAUGAAUA